rnacentral:rRNA from 1 species
AAGGGGGAGGGGGGUUGGGGGGUAUUGACUCCUACGGGAGGCUGCAGUAGGGAAUCUUCCACAAUGGACGCAAGUCUGAUGGAGCAACGCCGCGUGAGUGAAGAAGGGUUUCGGCUCGUAAAGCUCUGUUGUUAAAGAAGAACGUGGGUGAGAGUAACUGUUCACCCAGUGACGGUAUUUAACCAGAAAGCCACGGCUAACUACGUGCCAGCAGCCGCGGUAAUACGUAGGUGGCAAGCGUUAUCCGGAUUUAUUGGGCGUAAAGCGAGCGCAGGCGGUCUUUUAAGUCUAAUGUGAAAGCCUUCGGCUCAACCGAAGAAGUGCAUUGGAAACUGGGAGACUUGAGUGCAGAAGAGGACAGUGGAACUCCAUGUGUAGCGGUGAAAUGCGUAGAUAUAUGGAAGAACACCAGUGGCGAAGGCGGCUGUCUGGUCUGUAACUGACGCUGAGGCUCGAAAGCAUGGGUAGCGAACAGGAUUAGAUACCCUGGUAGUCCAUGCCGUAAACGAUGAUUACUAAGUGUUGGAGGGUUUCCGCCCUUCAGUGCUGCAGCUAACGCAUUAAGUAAUCCGCCCUGGGAUACCCCCCCCCG